rnacentral:rRNA from 1 species
AAUCCAUAGGUUAAUGAGGCGAACCGGGGGAACUGAAACAUCUAAGUACCCCGAGGAAAAGAAAUCAACCGAGAUUCCCCCAGUAGCGGCGAGCGAACGGGGAGGAGCCCAGAGCCUGAAUCAGCAUGUGUGUUAGUGGAAGCGUCUGGAAAGGCGCGCGAUACAGGGUGACAGCCCCGUACACAAAAGCGCAUGUGCUGUGAGCUCGAUGAGUAGGGCGGGACACGUGGUAUCCUGUCUGAAUAUGGGGGGACCAUCCUCCAAGGCUAAAUACUCCUGACUGACCGAUAGUGAACCAGUACCGUGAGGGAAAGGCGAAAAGAACCCCGGCGAGGGGAGUGAAAAAGAACCUGAAACCGUGUACGUACAAGCAGUGGGAGCACCCUUUGGGUGUGACUGCGUACCUUUUGUAUAAUGGGUCAGCGACUUAUAUUCUGUAGCAAGGUUAACCGAAUAGGGGAGCCGGAGGGAAACCGAGUCUUAAUUGGGCGUUAAGUUGCAGGGUAUAGACCCGAAACCCGGUGAUCUAGCCAUGGGCAGGUUGAAGGUUGGGUAACACUAACUGGAGGACCGAACCGACUAAUGUUGAAAAAUUAGCGGAUGACCUGUGGCUGGGGGUGAAAGGCCAAUCAAACCGGGAGAUAGCUGGUUCUCCCCGAAAGCUAUUUAGGUAGCGCCUCGUGAAUUCAUCUCCGGGGGUAGAGCACUGUUUCGGCUAGGGGGCCAUCCCGGCUUACCAACCCGAUGCAAACUGCGAAUACCGGAGAAUGUUAUCACGGGAGACACACGGCGGGUGCUAACGUCCGUCGUGAAGAGGGAAACAACCCAGACCGCCAGCUAAGGUCCCAAAGUCAUGGUUAAGUGGGAAACGAUGUGGGAAGGCCCAGACAGCCAGGAUGUUGGCUUAGAAGCAGCCAUCAUUUAAAGAAAGCGUAAUAGCUCACUGGUCGAGUCGGCCUGCGCGGAAGAUGUAACGGGGCUAAACCAUGCACCGAAGCUGCGGCAGCGACACUGUGUGUUGUUGGGUAGGGGAGCGUUCUGUAAGCCUGCGAAGGUGGCCUGUGAGGG